rnacentral:rRNA from 1 species
GAUGGGUCUGCGGCCGAUUAGGUAGUUGGUUAGGUAAUGGCUUACCAAGCCGUUGAUCGGUACGGGUUGUGAGAGCAAGAGCCCGGAGAUGGAACCUGAGACAAGGUUCCAGGCCCUACGGGGUGCAGCAGGCGCGAAACCUCCGCAAUGUGAGAAAUCGCGACGGGGGGAUCCCAAGUGCCAUUCUUAACGGGAUGGCUUUUCUUAAGUGUAAAAAGCUUUUGGAAUAAGAGCUGGGCAAGACCGGUGCCAGCCGCCGCGGUAACACCGGCAGCUCUAGUGGUAGCUGUUUUUAUUGGGCCUAAAGCGUUCGUAGCCGGUUUGAUAAGUCACUGGUGAAAUCUUGUAGCUUAACUGUGAGAAUUGCUGGUGAUACUGUUGAACUUGAGGUCGGGAGAGGUUAGCGGUACUCCCAGGGUAGAGGUGAAAUUCUGUAAUCCUGGGAGGACCGCCUGUUGCGAAGGCGUCUAACUGGAACGGUUCUGACGGUGAGGGACGAAAGUUAGGGGCGCGAACCGGAUUAGAUACCCGGGUAGUCCUAACUGUAAACGAUGCGGACUUGGUGUUGGGGUGGCUUUGAGCUGCUCCAGUGCCGAAGGGAAGCUGUUAAGUCCGCCGCCUGGGAAGUACGGUCGCAAGACUGAAACUUAA